GCGGCGGACGGGUGAGUAACACGUGGGCAACCUGCCCUGCAGACUGGGAUAACUUCGGGAAACCGGAGCUAAUACCGGAUAACACCGAAAACCGCAUGGUUUUUGGUUGAAAGGCGGCUUUUAGCUGUCACUGCAGGAUGGGCCCGCGGCGCAUUAGCUAGUUGGUGAGGUAACGGCUCACCAAGGCGACGAUGCGUAGCCGACCUGAGAGGGUGACCGGCCACACUGGGACUGAGACACGGCCCAGACUCCUACGGGAGGCAGCAGUAGGGAAUCUUCCGCAAUGGACGAAAGUCUGACGGAGCAACGCCGCGUGAGCGAAGAAGGUCUUCGGAUCGUAAAGCUCUGUUGUCAGGGAAGAACAAGUACCGUUCGAACAGGGCGGUACCUUGACGGUACCUGACAAGGAAGCCACGGCUAACUACUUGCCACCAGCCGCGGUAAUAC
rnacentral:rRNA from 1 species